UACAGAGGUCUCAAGCGUUGUUCGGAUUCAUUGGGCGUAAAGGGUGCGUAGGCGGCGCGGUAAGUCGGGUGUGAAAUCUCGGAGCUUAACUCCGAAACUGCAUUCGAUACUGCCGUGCUUGAGGACUGGAGAGGAGACUGGAAUACUUGGUGUAGCAGUGAAAUGCGUAGAUAUCAAGUGGAACACCAGUGGCGAAGGCGAGUCUCUGGACAUUUCCUGACGCUGAGACGCGAAAGCCAGGGGAGCGAACGGG
rnacentral:rRNA from 1 species